ACCGCCAGUCACGUUCCUUACUGCACAGGGGCACCGCCCCGAUUCGCCUCCUGCCCAGCCUGGGGUGCCGCCGCUCCAGCCUCGCUUUUCUCCUCCCGCCGGCUUCCACUGCUUUGCCUGGCCCGGGCGUCACUCCUGGAAGCGGUCCGGAUCUGCAGCGCUCCGCCGUCACUCACUCCUCACUCCCGCACCUAUUAAAAAGAGAUCGCCUCUCGGGAUCUCUCCCCAACACACAAAAGAAACGAAACCAAACUUAACCAAAAAUAUUCCCCAACCGAAAAGAAAACCCGGCCGAAAACGAUAACCAAGAUCCAGACCGGAAAAAAACCACGAAAACUAAACGAAACGAAACAAAACGAAAAGAAACGAAACCGAAACAAAUAUAUAAAUGUAAAACCUGCGGCGCAAAGCGUUUCUUUCCCGAGCCGUCCGUCUCGCGACUGCCUGAAUGGUCGUGCUUUAAACCCGAACUCCCGCUGAUCAAAGACAAUCCAGAACAGCAGGUCUACUGUCCAAACUCCCAAGGUCCUUCCCAUUUUCCUCUCCAGUGCUGCCUCUGAAAUGAGUCUCUUUGUUAAGCUUCAGGAUGGGGGGACUUCCUUUGGAGAAGGAAAAAUUUAUGGAACCACAAGCCCUGAGAGCAUGAGACUUAAUCUCCUGCUUAGUCCUGUAGAAAGUUGGCGGUACCCACGGGACAGAAGGAGGUUCGCACCACUGUCCAGAAAUGGGGAGGUGGUCCACCGUUAUAGAGAGUCACCAAUGGCAGCUGCACAGCCCCUGAACCAAGAUAAUCUGAAACUGAAAACAAUGCGCAGGCCAUAUGGUAUUCCUCUGAAUGGUUCACGGAAACAAGGCUUUUCCUUCAUUCCUGUCAUACUGGGU